UACGUAGGGUGCAAGCGUUGUCCGGAAUUAUUGGGCGUAAAGAGCUUGUAGGCGGUUUGUCGCGUCUGCUGUGAAAUUUCGGGGCUCAACCCCGAACUUGCAGUGGGUGACGGGCAGACUAGAGUGUGGUAGGGGAGACGUGGAAUUCCUGGUGUAGCGGUGAAAUGCGCAGAUAUCAGGAGGAACACCGAUGGCGAAGGCGGCGUUCUGGACUGCAACUGACACUGAGGAACGAAGACCAGGGGAGCAAACGGG
rnacentral:rRNA from 1 species